UGGUUUCAUUUUAAAAUAUAAACACACUAAGAAUUAUCUGAAUUCGAAACAGAGUCAAAUUUCUUAAGUUUUCUACUCAAUCUCAUACUAUCAAAAUGGCUUGUGGAUGUGGUUCUUCUUGUGCCUCUAACUGCGGCUGCGGAUGCAAGUCCGCUGCUAAGGAAAACCUCGAGGGAGGAUGCAAGUGUGGAGACAGCUGCUCAUGCACCGAUUGCAAGUGUUAAUCAAGAAAAUGAUGAAGAUCAGGGAUUUUUUUUCCCAUGUCGAAAGUCCCUGACAUCAUUUUAUCAUGGCAUGGUUUGUACGUGUCUUUGAUGUUAGAAUAAAGUAGCUGUCAAUAGCAAAUACUUGAGCUCAAGUGUUGUUAUGGCUACACAGUGUUCGUAUGCGCAAAACAGGAAAAAGAAAGUGUUGCGUUUUGUCGUGUAAAAGUGGUAAUGGGAGAUGUUUCACUCCUGUUGAUUUCAUAAUAAUAUUUACGUCUACCUCUUUGUUUGGAGGAUUUGAACUUUUAUCAA